rnacentral:lncRNA from 1 species
CAUAAUUAGAAAAGUAUCACCAUUUUCCUGGGACAAAAAUAUGUAAGUUUAAACAUUUUUAGUGCCAGGUCAGUAGUCACGAUUUACCAACAGCAUUUUUUAUUUUAAAAAUACAGUUAGUGACUACACCAUUGGCUAACAAACUGAGACUUAAAGCAUUCUCUAGAUGCAAAUGCUACAAAUAAAUCAAAUUAUUAGGCAUAUUCACUAAUACUUACAAACUUAACUUCAUAUAUAAAGCAAGGUAGAUCACCAGUGUGGCCAUGCAAACAGGGUUUGAGGACUUCAAUAUUUAAAGCAAGUUAGUCCAACCCACAGCCCAAGGGCCACAUGCAGCCCAGGAUGGCUUUGAAUGAGGCCCAACACAAAUUAGCAAAUUACUAAACUUACUUAAAAUGAUGGGAUUUUAUUUUUUGCCAUUUUUUGGUUUGUGUGUUUGGUUUUUAGCUCAUCAGCUUUGUUAGUGUUAGUGUAUUUUAUGUGUGGCCCAAGACAAUACUUCCAAUGUGGCCCAGGGAAGCCAAAAGAUUGGACACUCCUGAUUUAAAGGGAAAAGGGAGGGCAGAUGAAGAAAGAGGAUAAAAAAAAGAGAGAGAAGGUAGACAAAACAGGAAAGUGGUUAGUCUUUGGAGGCUUUGAUUAGCACUUACUGAAUCUACAUUUUACAUGUGAAAGGAGUGGGUAGCGAAACAGUGAAUUAUGCAUAGUGCUCAGUGCGUCUGCAUUUUUGCAUAAGAUAAAGUAAACAUAGAGGAGGUGCUCAAAUAUGCAUUCCUCUCAGGUGAGCCAAGGGAUGCCCUCUAGGCCUGUCUUUGUCAAGGUACCGGUGAAGAUAAGCUGUUAGUUUACAUUGUCAAGGUGAAAUAGAACAGCGUUCUGUUUUAGGGUAAAGCUCUUGGGGCCCACGAGGAAUUUCCUUGUGAGCAAUUUGUGAAGGAGGCCACCGGGGGAGACAUGUGGCCUUCUGUCUUUGCAGCUAUCUACUUAGGAACAAAAUGGAAGGCAGUUUUUGCAUGAUGCAGUUACUGAGCUUCACUUUUCCCUUUGGCAUAGUGAGUUUGGGGUCCUGAGAUUUUUAUAUUCCUUUCACAGCCUCACUAUACUUGAAUUAAAAUACAAUCUACAUGUUAAAACUGACCACAUCAUUCUUUCCUGUGUGUCUUCAAAGGAUUUAAGGCCCAUCCAGAUAAUCCAAGAUGAUCUCAUUUCAAAGCCUUAAUUAUAUCUUUGAUGACUCUUUUUCCAAAUAAGGUCUCAAUUAGAGGUUCCUGGAAUAAGACACGGACUCAUCUCCCUGGGGGCCACCAUUCAGCCUGAUCCGGAAGGAAGGCCAUGAUUUCAGCUCUCUGGGAUUUGAGACAAAGAGGCCCCUUUUCUUUCAUUUUAUCUUUUCAUGUCUCUUCUUGCCAUGUACCCACAUGAUUGAGUGUGGGCUGAGGGUGAAUCCAAGAAGGGCUUUGUUUUGUGGUCAGUACAGGCUUUGGUCCACAGAGACAACAAUACUUUCAAUACUCUUUUGUUCUGCCCCAGAGGAGCUCAACACAGAAUUGCCUAGAACAAGAAACUGGUGAGAGAAGCUGCAGCCUGUUGAGACUCCACAAGACUGAAGAUAUGAAAAGAGGAAAUAUGCAUGAAUGCCCGCACGGAGAACCACCCCCACCUGCUGCUCCCGCUCUAAUGAUCACGCCCAUUAUCAACUGGGGGAUGGCUCUGUGCCUUGUCCUUGCAUUACAUGGACCAAGAACACUUCACAGGACUCAGAGAGGCAAAAAUAGAUACAAAAGAAGAAGGAAUUACAGAAGAAGUCACAUAACAUUAUUGCCUACAACUGACUGUUUACCUUGAAUACUUGAAGACCAGAAUGAAGAUUCUUGGGGUGAAGAAUUACAGCCUUAGCAUGGAGCAGGCCUCGGUGCAUCGGCUUUCAGCUAGGCAUGCCUGCCAAUGUUCAACGUCCUCCUGGGAUACGGAAGGCACCGUGAUAGACAUCUGGGCAAGUCAACAGGAAGGUGGAUAUCCAAAUCUCUCUCUUCGCAAUGAGUUUCCAGUUAGAUGGAGGAGAGAGUAAUAAAACACAGAGCUGAGAUUCCUGACUUCACAGAUCCCUGAGGAGAUGUUUACUAAAGGGAAUCUUCUGGUCACUGUUACCUUCCUCCGUACUUACCUGCCUCAUGGAUAACACUGAAGAAUGCAGUUUACUUACAUCUUUUUCUGUUUGACAGAAGACAGUUAUUAGAACCCGAAAGGAAGAAGCUAUACGACUGGGGACACAUGUCUUAGAAGCACACUCAUUAGAUAAAGUGUCGCAUACUCUUUGAUAAGUGACUCAGAACACCCGUGUCCUUCCCAACAUUGGAUGCAAUGCUAAAGACAUGAUGUUGCUCCUGCUGGACCACACCUUGAAGGAAUUGCCUACCCCACCUCACCUCCAAAAUUAAAGUCUUUCGUUUUGACAAAAGUUAAUGAUAAGGUUUGAUGUGCUAAUUUCAGCACCUCCACUUCAUGUCUACACUGUGGACAUAUACUUUUUUGUUGUUUUGGGGUUUUU